GAGAGGGGUCUGUGAGACAGCAAGAACUGCUAAUUCUAGCCCCUUUGGUUAAAUUCCAGAGCCCACUCGAAAAGGC
rnacentral:tRNA from 1 species